AUUGAACGCUGGCGGCAUGCCUUACACAUGCCAGUCGAACGGCAGCACGGGUGCUUGCACCUGGUGGCGAGUGGCGAACGGGUGCGUAAUACAUCGGAACAUGUCCUGUAGUGGGGGAUAGCCCGGCGAAAGCCGGAUUAAUACCGCAUACGAUCUACGGCUGAAAGCGGGGGACCUUCGGGCCUCGCGCUAUCGGGUUGGCCGAUGGCUGAUUAGCUAGUUGGUGGGGUAAAGGCCUACCAAGGCGACGAUCAGUAGCUGGUCUGAGAGGACGACCAGCCACACUGGGACUGAGACACGGCCCAGACUCCUACGGGAGGCAGCAGUGGGGAAUUUUGGACAAUGGGCGAAAGCCUGAUCCAGCAAUGCCGCGUGUGUGAAGAAGGCCUUCGGGUUGUAAAGCACUUUUGUCCGGAAAGAAAUCCUUGGCCCUAAUACGGUCGGGGGAUGACGGUACCGGAAGAAUAAGCACCGGCUAACUACGUG
rnacentral:rRNA from 1 species